UACGGAGGGUGCAAGCGUUAAUCGGAAUUACUGGGCGUAAAGCGCACGCAGGUGGCUGAGUCAGUCGAUUGUGAAAGCCCUGGGCUUAACCUGGGAAUUGCAGUCGAUACUACUCAGCUAGAGUAUGGGAGAGGGCAGUGGAAUUCCCGGUGUAGCGGUGAAAUGCGUAGAUAUCGGGAGGAACAUCAGUGGCGAAGGCGGCUGCCUGGCCCAAUGCUGACACUCAGGUGCGACAGCGUGGGGAGCAAACAGG
rnacentral:rRNA from 1 species